CACGUAGGGUGCGAGCGUUGUCCGGAAUUAUUGGGCGUAAAGAGCUCGUAGGCGGUGUGUCGCGUCGGCCGUGAAAACCUGCAGCUUAACUGUGGGCUUGCGGUCGAUACGGGCAUCACUGGAGUUCGGCAGGGGAGACUGGGAAUUCCUGGUGUAGCGGUGAAAUGCGCAGAUAUCAGGAGGAACACCGGUGGCGAAAGGCGGGUCUCUGGGCCGAUACUGACGCUGGAGGAGCGAAAGCCGUGGG
rnacentral:rRNA from 1 species